rnacentral:misc_RNA from 1 species
CGCAAUGUAAAAGCUUAUUUCAACAUCUAAUAAACUUGAAAGCGGUGAACUGAAUUGGAGUAAGUUCAACCACUAGUUACCCUAAAAUCACAGGGCCCUGUCGACGAACAGCUACAGAUCAAACAAGCCCAUCUUAAGAUUGAGGAAUAAAUUUCGUGCUCUGGGCUUUCUUGGACAGCUGGGCUUAGAAGGAGGACCACCAAUGCAGAUGCAGGUACAAGCCGCCUCCUCCUCUGUGUUUUUGUCAGCAGCGAAGCCCGUCUGGGUGUCGGCAUCGGCUCCACCGGUGGUUCGCGUGAAUUCCCUGUACACCGCUAAACCUUCUUCUCUCAACAGCGAUUCUAACUCCAUGGCUACGGCCGCACCUAAGUGGGCGCAGAAGACGAUUACCCUACCCCCACAGCGCCGAGGCUGCCAUCUUAUUACUCCCAAGAUUUUGAAUGAAAUUGGUUCAGACUUAUCAGAAUUCAAGUGCGGCCUUGCACAUCUCUUCUUACACCACACAAGUGCCUCUCUUACUAUCAACGAGAAUUAUGACUCUGAUGUUCGAGAUGACACCGAGACAUUCCUCAAUAAGAUAGUUCCUGAGGGGAGGUCUGCACCUUGGAAGCAUACUUUGGAAGGUCCAGAUGACAUGCCAGCGCACAUCAAAUCAUCAAUGUUUGGAUGUGCACUUACGAUUCCAAUCACAAAUGGAAAGCUUAAUAUGGGCACCUGGCAGGGAAUAUGGCUGUGUGAACACCGUGACCACCCUACUGCCCGCAAAGUUGUGGUUACUCUUAAUGGAAUUUAAGGCUUUAAUAUUUGAAGUUGAAGACAUCUUGAUCCUGAUAUGUUGGUAAACCAAGGUGGUUUUAUGACGAUGUAAUGUCUUUACGUGUAGCUGUUAGUGAGACAAAACGGCAUGGUUCUCUGUUACUUAAUUGGGACUAGGCGUUUUAUAACUGUAACAACUUGCAGAUCAUGGCAUGAAAUUAUCGUUAUUUGUGUCAAAUUUUGGAUUAAUGAAUUUAGAAGGAAACAUUCCAAUAUGUCAACUGUAUCUGUACAGAAAAAAAAUAAAUAAGCCUAUAAUAUAUGGAGUUAGAGGAAUCAGCGCAUCAUGACAGUAAACUCGUGGAAGCUAAGGACGCCAUCUCCAUUAAGGUCGAAAGUUCCAAUCAUGGCCUUACAGUCGUCAAGGGACCUUGACUCGCCCAAUCGAUUCAGCAUUCUCUUCAAACUUGUAGGGUUAAUGAAUCCAGAGCCAGGCUCCGUCUCGUACAUGCUAAACGCGUGCUUGAGCUCUUCCUUCUUAUCGUCCUCGGAGGUGCUGCUCUCCAUAAGCCUUUGGAAAUCCUCGAAACCUAACAGUCCAUCUCCGUCCAUAUCAGAUGAGCUUACGGCAGACUCCGCUUCCUCAUUAGAAAGGUCCCCUCCCAUCGUCCUCACGCAGCUCCGCAACUCAUCCGCAGAUAUCUUUCCAUCUCCAUUCUCGUCGAAGUAGUUGAAGACCUUUUGAAGUUCGGUGGCGAUAGCACCAUUAGUUGAUGGAGGAGGAGAAAGAGAACGCGGACUGUCGGCUCUCCUUGGAGAUAAUUUGCGUCGCAAUCUUGUUAGAGCAGAUUUGGGUGAAGUUGAAGGCGAAUAUGGAGGUGAAAGCUUAUCGGAAAUCAUGAUAAAAUUAAGGGAUGGUUAUAUAGCAAGAAGGCAGAAUUGAAGGAGAUUAAUGGUUGUUUAUAUAUAGCAGAAACUAGAAAAUGAUAAGGAAGUAAUUGAGAUUGGAUAAGAUACUCUCUCUAUAUGUAGAUAGACAUCCAAACAAGGAGUUGGAAGUAUAUUCCUACAAGGAGUUGGAAGUGUGAAAGACGCGGAAGCUUAGGACAACAGAUAUAUCUAUCUGAAAGUUGAGAACCCGGUUUUGUGUGGGCACAUGAGAUGUAUUUAUAUUUAAAACCAAGGGAAAUUGACCUUCGCCAGUUGUUUUACAAGUGGUAGUUUGGCUCUAGAGACGGCAGCGCGUGGCGGAAGUUUCCUUCUUCCUACCUCGUCUUCCUUGUUCUUCCUCAAUUAAUAUCUAUGGAGUGGGCAGAAGACAGUGUCGGUCACCGUCUAUGUUGGAGAAGGACGUUAGCCCAGUGUCGGCACGCCACAUCUUUUUCAUUCAUUCAACCAUCAUAGCGUCUAUUGUUAAUAUCCGUACAAUUCAACACCUUAUUUAUAAAUAUUUUACUUAAAUAUUGUUUCUGUUUGUUGGGCUUAGCAGAGAAAAAUCUGCUUCAUAUAAAACAGCAUAUAUGACUGCACCAGUGAUAAUACAG